rnacentral:rRNA from 1 species
AGGGCACCACCAGGUGUGGAGCCUGCGGCUUAAUUUGACUCAACACGGGGAAACUCACCAGGUCCAGACACAAUAAGGAUUGACAGAUUGAUAGCUCUUUCUUGAUCUUGUGGUUGGUGGUGCAUGGCCGUUCUUAGUUGGUGGAGUGAUUUGUCUGGUUAAUUCCGAUAACGAACGAGACCUUAACCUGCUAAAUAGCCCAGUCGCCGUUUUGGCGGCUGCUGGCUUCUUAGAGGGACUAUCAGCGUCUAGCUGAUGGAAGUUUGAGGCA